UGUGGUGUGUAUGGUGUCUGAAAUUG
rnacentral:piRNA from 1 species